CAGUCGCCGCGGGAAUACAGAGGGUGCGAGCGUUAAUCGGAUUUACUGGGCGUAAAGCGUGCGUAGGCGGCUAAUUGAGUCGGAUGUGAAAUCCCUGAGCUUAACUUAGGAAUUGCAUUCGAUACUGGGAAGCUAGAGUAUGGGAGAGGAUGGUAGAAUUCCAGGUGUAGCGGUGAAAUGCGUAGAGAUCUGGAGGAAUACCGAUGGCGAAGGCAGCCAUCUGGCCUAAUACUGACGCUGAGGUACGAAAGCAUGGGGAGCAAACAGGAUUAGAGACCCCGGUAGUCCCUGUCUCUUAUAC
rnacentral:rRNA from 1 species